UACGUAGGGGGCAAGCGUUACCCGGAUUCACUGGGCGUAAAGCGCGUGUAGGCGGCUGGCCAAGCGUGGUGUGAAAUCUCCGGGCUCAACCCGGAAACUGCACUGCGAACUGGCCUGGCUUGAGUGUGGCAGAGGGGGGUGGAAUUCCACGUGUAGCAGUGAAAUGCGUAGAGAUGUGGAGGAACACCGAUGGCGAAGGCAGCCCCCUGGGCUAACACUGACGCUCAUGCACGAAAGCGUGGGGAGCAAACAGG
rnacentral:rRNA from 1 species